rnacentral:rRNA from 1 species
AUUGAACGCUGGCGGCAGGCCUAACACAUGCAAGUCGAACGGUAACAGGAAGAAGCUUGCUUCUUUGCUGACGAGUGGCGGACGGGUGAGUAAUGUCUGGGAAACUGCCUGAUGGAGGGGGAUAACUACUGGAAACGGUAGCUAAUACCGCAUAACGUCGCAAGACCAAAGAGGGGGACCAUCGGGCCUCUUGCCAUCGGAUGUGCCCAGAUGGGAUUAGCUAGUAGGUGGGGUAACGGCUCACCUAGGCGACGAUCCCUAGCUGGUCUGAGAGGAUGACCAGCCACACUGGAACUGAGACACGGUCCAGACUCCUACGGGAGGCAGCAGUGGGGAAUAUUGCACAAUGGGCGCAAGCCUGAUGCAGCCAUGCCGCGUGUAUGAAGAAGGCCUUCGGGUUGUAAAGUACUUUCAGCGGGGAGGAAGGGAGUAAAGUUAAUACCUUUGCUCAUUGACGUUACCCGCAGAAGAAGCACCGGCUAACUCCGUG